rnacentral:hammerhead_ribozyme from 1 species
GCAUUGCUGAGGAGUCCCAUAAUGGAACGAAACGGCCGUUCAGUGC